GCCUCUACAGCAUUUUCAUACUUCCUUAGAGCCACACAGCUUCAUGGCCUACCAUCUACAAGCUAGAGCCACACAGCUUCAUGGCCUACCAUCUAGGGUAAGGGUGGAUCAGGGGGUUGAGAACCUGGACACGAGGAACUGGAUGAAUGAGCUUUAUCUCAGGAAAAAGUGUCCAUAAUCAGAGGGUGGAGAGACUGUGGCGGGAUGUCUGGGUUAGCAAGUACCAUGAUGUUCUCCACUCUCUGAAGGAAGACGGCUGGCU